GGACCCAAACUUCACAGUGUUAAUGUAAAAGACAAGGUAUGUCCUAUUUUUGGAGACAUGAACUCCAUACGGUAGCAUUCAAAUGAACAGAUGUGCUAGAACCAAUAGCUUUGGGGAGACUAACAAAGUAACAUUCUGGAUUUUUUUUUUUUUUUGCAGUUUUUAUUUCAAUAUAAGAUCUUUAAAGCUAAUCUGGUAAAAUCAAGAGUUUCUCAGUGCUUCUGGAAGGGACUCUCUAAUCCUGUAGAGAGCAAACAUUACACUAGACACACUGACUUGAGAUGAGAUUGGAUUUUACAGAGAUGUAGCUGAAUCUUUUAUGGCCUGAAUGAUUAGAGCACGUUAACUCUCCAGCCUGAUUUUUUGUGUCUAGAGACUAGUUAAGAGAGAGCAGGGGGAGUGGAUUCCAAUUCUCCUCCAGGAAGAUGUAUGGAAUAAAAAAGGUAAUUUUAAAUGUUUCUACUUUUUCCCUGGAUGUCUUUAAACCCCCAAAGUAGGCCAAACACUUCUGCUUUGAUCACGUAAUUGGAUAAGGAAGAUAAAUGUGGAUCUCAAAUGCAGCCCUGAAAUGUAUGCGAGAAAGGGAUUGCCUUUGAAGUGUUUUUCUCUUUGUAAAGUGUUGUGCUUUGCAGAAAAAAAGGAAAAGCAAACCCAUAUUUGGGUCCUUUGUAGCUGAUAGUCCUGGGAAAGGGUAUAAAACCCCACAGCCAUUCUGAAACUUGCUGCCCAAAGCUACGUGUGUGAGCUGAUGUGAACAUAUUUCUUCAUUCUCAUGAAGAAAUAAUAGAGACGAGAAAACAUUCCAGUUGCAGUUUGCCUUUCGAAUAAAGGUUUUUGCACAAUAACACAGUUUUGUAAAUAAUUAUGUUAAAUCCUAAGGAUGUUCCCAGCAGAUCCGAUGCAGAACAGGACCCUUUUUGCCUCCAUCCUCACAUUUGCAUCCCCCACAAGUGUUUUCUCUGCCCUGUACUUCCCAAGCUUGAAGCACUGCCACUACACCUCUUAGCCAUAUACCAUGUCAUUAUUUAUGUAACAUUUGUCUUUAAAUCAUACAUUUUUAUUCAAAUGAAAAUAUUAUUUUUAAAAUAAUACUAGGAAAUCAUAGAUUUAAUGUGCUUAUUCUAUUGCUUUUUAAUACAUAUGAGAUUAUGUAAUUAUUAAAUCUGAAAAAAAAAGUUCCCCCGUGUGUCACCCACCAUCAUCUGGGUAUCCCCACUGGUUCACAGUCUGCAUUUUGGGAGAUGUUGUUUGCUUCCUGGGCUUUGAUCCCCACCCAACAAGGUACAGCCAAACUCCAUACCUUACCUGUGGUGUUUGGCUUAACUGAAAGGAAGAGCUUAAUUCUCCUUGAUCUAUGGAGACUUGUCGAGUGAACUUGCCAACCGUAAAGUGCCUAGGAUGUUACUCAGGAUGCACAGGGUAUCUGCUAGGUACCAGGUGAUACAUUAGGUGCAGGUGUUGGGGGCAGGCAGGGAAGGGCAUAGAGAAGAGAAGCAGAAUUGGAGCCUACAAACAUUUUAUUGAACACAGGCAAGGCAAAGGCAGAGGAGCCUACGAUACAGAUGACAGCUAGCUCUACUCCCAGUGCUGAGUGUGACUGUGAAAGAUGUAUAGCAUUUAUGGGGCAAAUGAGGAAAUGAGCACUAUUUCAGAAUAGAGGGGAUGGCAUUGAGCAAGGAAGCAAGUCAACAACUGAUGAUGGGGAGAGGGUAUUCCACUCAGAGAAAAAAGUGGAAGCAAAGGUGAGGAGGUGGGAGAGUGGAGGGCACUUCAAGGUAGAGCCAGAUAGCUAUGGCUGCAGCCUGGGAGCAUGUCUGUGGGCAUCUGCAGAGGGAUAAGGGUAGGUAGGUAGCAUCACUCAGAGCUUUACAUUCCAUGUUAAGAAUAUACAAAAAGCCAUCGCAUUUACCUUAUAUUUAGUCCUCUUAUUCUUACUUUACAAAUUUAUUCAUUUCUAUAACACCUCUGCCAGGUAAAUCAUGCAGGUUGGUUACCUGUCCUUUUUCUUUCUUUUCUCCCCUCAUCUUUUAAAAAAUAAAAUACAGAGACUAAUGGUCAGAGAAAUAAAGAUCAUAUAGCUACUAAAUUUAAAAUGUAGCUUUUGGAGUUCCCUGGCAGCCUAGUGGUUAAGGAUCAAACCUGCUGUGGCUCAGGUUUGAUCCCCGGCCCAGGAACUUUCACAUGCCAUGGGUGCAGCCAAAAAAAAUGUAGAUUUCUUUUUUCUCCCUUAAAAAAGUGAUCUUUUGGGGAGGAAAACAUGAACCCACAUCUGGAUAGUCGAGCGAGUGUGGCUGUGACUACAAGAGCAAUAUGAGUUCAGGUACCAGAACCUUUAAUUUCAUGCCUGGAAGGAACAUGAGCGGCACUCUCCUGUACACAAGGAUAGAGCAGAGCACGUUAUUUGGGGCCAUAGCGCCCUUUCUCUAUUCCACUAGCAGGUGAGGUGCAGGGCUUCUCCUGGAAACCUGCUUUCAUGCCUGGCUUCUGCUCCUGAACUUAAGCUUUGCGGGGUCUUGUUUCUUCUUGUAUGCCCAGGACACAGCCUGCUGCCUGGCCCAAGGCAGGCUAUAUAAAGGCUGAUGGAAUGAGGCUGACUAGAAAGUAGAAUGAAAAGAAGGAAGACAUGCAGGAAGGAAGGAGGUUUGCAAAACUAUUUAUCUCUUAAAACGAAUCAUCGUCUACAAGAUGUUUUAUUAGGCAUUUUUUAUAUGUAGUCAUGCCGUGGGGAGUUUUAGGGUCAUCAAUUCAAGACUAAAGACAACACUCAAGAGACUUAACUUGAGCCUCAUAGAUCUGAUCCUUAUUGGCUGUAUGGCCUUGGGUAUAUUACUUCACUACUCAGGCUGUUUCAAAGUCUGUAAAAUGGACAUAAUGAUACUCAUCCCCCAGAAAUGUAGGAGGAUAUGAGGUACAUUUAAAACUUAUAUUUGUCUUGCAAGCCAUUUCCUGAAUGCUGAUUAUAUGCACAAAAAAUAAACUCUCAGUGAAUGUUGACUUUCAUCACCUGUCAUCAUCAUCAUUCUGCUAAGAACUUCUACAAGCUCACAGUGACAGAGAGCAGAGUGCUGUGGCCGAACCAGGCCUCAGUUCCAACUGUGGGCUGAUGGGGUGUGGCUCCCCUCCCAGCACACCAGACUUCCAGGUUGCAGAGAACCUAGUCACUUUUGCAUGGGAACAGAAAGGUCUCCAGGGAGGAAAUGGCCAUGGAAGUCAGGCUAGCCGGUCAUGUUUAGCUAGGAGCUCUUGGCUCAGUUGAUUUAGGAAGAAAGGAAUGUCCUCAGCAGCCUGGACAAGGAUCUGCCCAAGGACAAGAACAGGCCAGGUGACUGAGCUUGAGGUGCAUCUCCCCAAGUCUAGCAGUGGACAUUUGGCAGGCAAAGCCCUCUGGCUUCUGGUGAAGAGCAGAAUAAAGAAAGCAAGAGCUUUCAUUUCUUUCUUUCAUCUCUCCUCAUGGCCAGGAUUUUAGGAAGUUGUUCCUUUAGGCUCUUACCCCUGGCAAAGAUGGAAUCUCUCUCGGCUCUGGUUUUCAGUUUCCACACUAAGCCUCUGGAUUAUGGAACAGUAGCUGUAGAGGAUGUUUUUGGAAACAACCAAGGGUUUGAGUAGUGCAUGUAGAGUUUUCCAACUUCAACUCGAGAAAGGAUAGAUUAUCAUGUUCUGAUGGUUUCAGCAUUUUAGACUUAAAAAGGAAACACCUCCUCCUCUGCACCGAGGGAGAUGGUUAAACCAUUAGUGUAUACAAAUCCUGAAAUGGGGAGAGGCAGGGAAGAGGAAUCCAACUUUCCGCCAACCUGUGUGAUGCUUAUUCUUUGGGAUAUCACUCUGAAGAGGCACUGUUUAUAGCACAAGCUGAUGAAGAUAGAUCUCUGAUUCUCUAGAUUUCUGGAAAACAAUAUUUGAGCUGUAUAGAACUAAUAUCCUUGAAAAUAUCAUGACACAGAAAUACACAGUGGUCUUUAAAUAUUCAUCUCAUAAAUUGGAAGUAAGUCCGGUUAUUGAUUCAUUCUGUUCUGGAAUAGAUUAUUCAGCAAAAACUAGUUUGAUGACAUCAUAUUAGAUCUAGUCUCGGAAAUAGAAGUGUGUAUCUUUUAUUCAAAAAUUUUGAAAUGGAUGAAAUAUCCUAAAUUCCUUUGAUGAGAGCAACAUGAAUAAUAGGAUCAUAUUGCUCAUGGUAUCAUUUAAGAUUCACAGGUAUGAUCGAAACUCUACAUUUUUUCUCAACCACAUUUCUUUUCAUCUUUAUGAUGCUCCUACAGGGAACCCCCUGGCAGCCUAGGCAGCAUUAAGAGCACAGGGUGAAAAUCUCAGUCCUGCCACUUCCUGGCUAUGUGACCUCAAGCAAGUUUCUUAGACUAUAGGUACCCAGUUUCCUAUGAUGAUGAUAAUUUUAAAAUGAUAAUAAAAUGAGGGUGAUAAUAAUAGUGAUAAUAGUAGUGUAAUACCUAUCACACAAGGUUACUAUGAGAAUUCAAUGAAUUAAUGUUUAGCAAGAUUUUGAAAUGGUAUCUGGCAUAUAAAACUAGAUAAGCAUUUCUUAUCAUCCUUCAUCAAAUAACCUAUCCUUCCUCCUCCCCUUCCCCUCUUCCUCCUUCUCUCUUUCUCUCUUCUGUCUCUCUCGGCUUGGUUUAGUUCUAAAAGAAGUACCUCAAACUAGAUGUCCAACCAGUACCUCAACCAAAACAGAACUGAGAUGUCAUCUCCUGACUCUCACCCUCUGACUGAUUCUUGGUCUAGAAGCUUUGGGUAUCAGGGAUCAUUUACUCUUAUGCACUGUUUUGUGUGGAAUGGCACGUGGCACAUAGACUCAAUAAAUGUCAGUGUUGAAGAAGGAGGACAAGAAGGGUGAGGAAGAGAAGUAAGAGGAAAAGAAAGUAGAGAUGAAAGUAUUGCAAUUAUGCUGAGAGUGAAAAUGAGAUAGUGUAUGGAAAGUGUUCUAUAAAUGGUACCACCAUCAUUACCAGAAAUGCCAUCCCUUCCAAAACUCUGGCCAUCUUCCCAUUCUGGGCCCAACUGAGUCAUCUCUCUCUUAAUUCUUACAAUCUUUCUCAAGACCACCCAGCUUCCAAUACCGCCCACUCCUAUUACUCUUUACCACUACUGCUAAAAUAUUUUCCCACAGUUACUCACAGAAACUAUUCAACAACCUCAAGUUCCUGGGCAGCUGUUCUUUCACAAUGAUGCUCUCCUCUGAUGGGUUCUUCUAACUCCCACAGUCCACUCACUGUCCUGGGUACCUAAUUGGAAUAACCUGUUUCUCUGUCUUCCAGUCCAGUCUCACUUCUUCUGUUAACAUGGAGUCAAUACUACUUUAAGAUUUUAAAGGAAAGUAUUAAGCAAAUAUAUCACAUCCCUUUUAGUAUUUCUAUGAGCUUAAUAAUUAAUGGGAAAAGGGGGAAGAUGAUUACUAUAGCCAAAGAUAUACAAAAAGACCUUCCAUUUUCUCUGCCAAAUCUUUAAUCCCUAACAAAAAAAAUUAAACUACUGGCACCAGUUUACUAUAGAGUUCUUGAUUAGUUGGGACAUACAUAUGAAUUUUUUUUCCAAUCACUGCUCCCAAGUGUACUAUAUUGAAUCCUCUUUGUGCUGGGUAUAUAGUUCCAUUAAUGAUGUCUUGGUCAAAGCUCAUUAUUCAGUUAUUGAAACUUAGUACUGUCCAGCUUAAAAUCUAAAUCUAAAUCUUCAAAGCAAGAUUCUUCUCUUUGAAGAACUAGAGUGGCAGGCAGGAUAACUUGGAAGGGAGGUGUCCCUCCAUCUCCCUCUUGGACACCAGUGCCCCCUGCUGUUAGAGGCAUGGAGGAAGGAUGGGGAGACAAGGGCUCCAUUUUUUUGUGGUCAAAUGAUUGUCCAUGGUGCACAGGGGUCCCUAGCCUCACUCUGGUUCCUGCUUGCUCCCUCUCUUGGAGGCCUCUGCUGACAUGGUGGCACUCCAUUUUGUUGAGAAUUCUCUUGCAAGGGCCACUCAAUGUUCCAUCUGCCUUGGCAGCUAUACACAUUCCCAGUCCUUUUCUAUGGCUUGGAUCAGGGCUACUCUGGCAGCUCAGUGACCAUCACCCCUCUCUUGGCCUCCAGUCCCCUUUGUUUGGGGCAUUACUGAGCAUCUUCCAUGGGUCAUGAAGCACUGCUCUGAGUGGGCUCACCUCACUUCCCAAACACAUCAAGCCAGGGAGCCUUCAGGUCCUGCUGACACAGAGGCUCCGGUCAACUCCCUUCAGAAAUCUCUAGGCCUGUCCCUGUAUUCUUCUGCACUCAGAUGCCAAGAAGUCACAUACAAGGACUCUGUUUUGAGAGGCCUCAGUCCCUCUGCACUUUCUUGCACCAGGGUUAAGCUAGAGCCUUCUUUUUGUAGGCAGUCCCAGUCUACUUGGGUGAUUUCAGUGGAGUCCCUUUCACUUGACUUAGAGGAGAGAAAACUCCCUCAUGGGGAGCAAGAGCAGCUUUACACCUCAAACACUGCACUCUGUCCAAGGAGGACCUCUAUUCUUUCCCAAUCCUUUCAUCCACUGAUUAGAACCAAAGAGAUGGAGUUGGAAUUGGAGGAGAUGAGGCUAAUUCUGUUGCAAACUAAGCCUACUGGUAGGUGUGUGGCCCUAACUGCUGGGAAGCCCUGCUGCUCCUUUUAGUACUGAGGCAUUUAGCAACUUUUGUUUUCAGUUCUGCUCUCUAAACCCAAUUUGGAAAACAGGAAAAGGCAUACAGGAUGACACAUCUUGUGACCUUUAUGUCUGGAUGCUUCUAGUUUCUUUUUCCCCCAUCUAUCUAGAGUUGCCUUGUUAUUCUGCUCAAAAGGAUACAUCUUAAGGAGAACUACAACAUGGAGAGGGUGAUGGAAAUUUGUAAAAGCUGUUCUGUUUGGUUGGCCCUGAGAAUCACAGCUUCCUCAGGACGACCAGGAGAGGGAUGGAGGGUACUUGGCUUUCUGUGCUAACCCAAAUCCCAUCAUUGGAAACAGCAGAGAAUUCAGCAAGCAAGGGGCAGUACUUCAAUGGAGAUACAAUGAAGACAGCAAUGAUUUAGGUUGAAGCCAGGUUGAUAAUGACAUCAAGAACAGUUACAAAUUUCAGCACAGAAUAAAGUCUUUGACAGAUUCCUAA